rnacentral:rRNA from 1 species
GUGCCAGCCGCCGCGGUAAUACGGGGGGGGCAAGCGUUGUUCGGAAUUACUGGGCGUAAAGGGUUCGUAGGUGGCUUGCUAAGUCAGACGUGAAAUCCCUCAGCUUAACUGGGGAACUGCGUCUGAUACUGGCGAGCUUGAGUGCAGGAGAGGAACGCGGAAUUCCAGGUGUAGCGGUGAAAUGCGUAGAUAUCUGGAGGAACACCGGUGGCGAAGGCGGCGUUCUGGACUGCAACUGACACUGAUGAACGAAAGCCAGGGGAGCAAACGGGAUUAGAAACCCCCGUAGUCC